rnacentral:ncRNA from 1 species
CAGUGAUAAGGGCAAACCUGUCAAAAGACAGGGACGCAAAGCCAUAGGGUCUAAGGUGCUUAUCAGCACUAUGACAGCCUGGCUGCCGCG